CACCGAUGCAGCCCUUCCAGGCAAGGCCCUGUGUGUGAGGAGUGUGUGAGAUGAGGAGUGUGUGAGGUGAGGAGUGUGUGAGGUGAGGAGUGUGUGUGGGGAGUGUGUGAGGUGAGGAGUGUGUGAGGAGUGUGUGAGGUGAGGAGUGUGUGAGGUGUGUGUGAGGAGUGUGUGAGGUGAGGAGUGUGUGAGGAGUGUGUGAGGUGAGGAGUGUGUGAGGAGUGUGUGAGGAGUGUGUGAGGUGAGGAGUGUGUGAGGAGUGUGUGAGGAGUGUUGUGUGAGGAGUGUGUGAGGAGUGUGUGAGGUGAGUGUGUGAGGAGUGUGUGAGGUGAGGAGUGUGUGAGGUGAGGUGUGUG
ensembl:lncRNA